rnacentral:rRNA from 1 species
AGGACGAACGCUGGCGGCGUGCUUAACACAUGCAAGUCACGGGGGCCCGCAAGGGCAACCGGCGAACGGGUGCGUAACACGUGAGCAACCUGCCUAGAUGUGGGGGAUAGCCGGCCCAACGGCCGGGUAAUACCGCAUACGGUCACGAGGAGGAGUCUCCUUGUGAAGAAACCUCCGGGGCAUUUAGAGGGGCUCGCGGCCUAUCAGCUAGUUGGCGGGGUAAUGGCCCACCAAGGCUUCGACGGGUAGCUGGUCUGAGAGGAUGGCCAGCCACAUUGGGACUGAGAGACGGCCCAGACUCCUACGGGAGGCAGCAGUGGGGAAUCUUGCGCAAUGGCCGAAAGGCUGACGCAGCGACGCCGCGUGUGGGAGGACGCCCUUCGGGGUGUAAACCACUGUUGCCCGGGACGAACAUCUUCUUUCGAGAGGACUGACGGUACCGGGUGAGGAAGCACCGGCUAACUCCGCGCCAGCAGCCGC